rnacentral:rRNA from 1 species
AACGAACGCUGGCGGCAGGCUUAACACAUGCAAGUCGAACGCCCCGCAAGGGGAGUGGCGGACGGGUGAGUAACACGUGGGAACGUGCCUUUAGGUUCGGAAUAACUCAGGGAAACUUGUGCUAAUACCGAAUGUGCCCUUCGGGGGAAAGAUUUAUCGCCUUUAGAGCGGCCCGCGUCUGAUUAGCUAGUUGGUGAGGUAAUGGCUCACCAAGGCUACGAUCAGUAGCUGGUCUGAGAGGAUGACCAGCCACAUUGGGACUGAGACACGGCCCAAACUCCUACGGGAGGCAGCAGUGGGGAAUCUUGCGCAAUGGGCGAAAGCCUGACGCAGCCAUGCCGCGUGGAUGAUGAAGGUCUUAGGAUUGUAAAAUCCUUUCACCGGUGAAGAUAAUGACUGUAGCCGGAGAAGGAGCCCCGGCUAACUUCGUGCCAGCCGCCGCGGUAACAC